AUUGAACGCUGGCGGCAGGCCUAACACAUGCAAGUCGGACGGUAGCGCAGAGAGCUUGCUCUUGGGUGACGAGUGGCGGACGGGUGAGUAAUGUCUGGGGAUCUGCCCGAUAGAGGGGGAUAACCACUGGAAACGGUGGCUAAUACCGCAUAACGUCGCAAGACCAAAGAGGGGGACCUUCGGGCCUCUCACUAUCGGAUGAACCCAGAUGGGAUUAGCUAGUAGGCGGGGUAAUGGCCCACCUAGGCGACGAUCCCUAGCGGGUCUGAGAGGAUGACCAGCCACACUGGAACUGAGACACGGUCAAGACUCCUACGAGAGGCAGCAGUGGGGAAUAUUGCACAAUGGGCGCAAGCCUGAUGCAGCCAUGCCGCGUGUAUGAAGAAGGCCUUCGGGUUGUAAAGUACUUUCAGCGGGGAGGAAGGCGGUGAGGUUAAUAACCUUGCCGAUUGACGUUACCCGCAGAAGAAGCACCGGCUAACUCCGUGCCAGCAGCCGCCGUAA
rnacentral:rRNA from 1 species